GGUGUUGAUGGUGUUUCUCCUAGAAGGCUUCGGCAUUCGAAAAAAGAAACACAACCAGACCAGAGUUUCGGACUUGGAUUCCGAUUCGGAUUCGAUACGAUACGAUCCAUUCCGAGCCGCGAAGAGUGAGCGGCGGCAGCGAUGGUUUGGCUUCGUUUGCUUCGAAAACUUGUCUUCCCAGAUUCAGUUCGGAUUUCUUCUUCUUAUCGGAGCAGCGGCAAGACGCGACUGACAACAGCACCGAAACACACACGAAACGUGAAAGGAGGGGAGACAGGCAGUAAGCCGAAGUUGCUAAUACACUUGGCGUUAUCUACCACAAAAAAAUUUUCAAAAUUCGGAUUGAAUACCUAUUUGUAGCACCAGGUUGUAUAAUUGAAAUAUCAAAAACGGGAUGGUAUAUCUUUCAGAAUUGAGCUUUAAAAACAUGAAUACCCCAUUACAGGGUAUUAAUGAAAAAAGAAACAGCGGUAAGCAACAGUGUUGGCAAUUUGGAACUGGACUACAAACGGACUUGAAACAAACCAAAUAACAACAACCACACCAACACCGACAAUAACAAUAACACCAACAAUAACAACCACCAACGGAGCGAGUCGCGAUUGCCGACUGGUAUUUCCCUCUCUGGGUUGUUAUAAAUCUGUUGUAUUUGCUGCUGCUGCUGUUGGUUUUGCUGUUGUAGCCGCUGUCUUUCAUUAUAAAAAAUGAAUAUACAUUUCGUAUAUAGUAUAUGCGUGCACACAUGUAUGCAGCACACACGGACGGACACACUUUUGAACGUAUGCAUGUAUCUGAGGCUAUAUCUUUAAAAUUACUGAAGAAAAACAACAAGAAUGAGAGGAAAAUAGAGAGCGCAAAAGAGAAGCAGAAACGGAAACCACAAUGGCGUCCGAUGGCAAGCGAAAUUCACGACGAAACGAAACAGCAUUUGCCAUAUGACCAUUUAUGUUUCGGCAUUUUCGCUGCGUAAACAUUUUCAUAUGCAAAUAUUAAUGACCUUCACUUUCACCUCACAUGCUAAAAAGCAUUCCAUUGCAGAGGGACUACAGAUAAACACAUUUAAAUCGGGUCAAUCGACAACAAACUAUUUCGAAGAAUGUCCAGAGCAUCCAUUCAAAAUGUUUGAAUUGAUCAGUACAACAGGUGAUAAGCUUGGAUUAAUUUUCACAUUCCCAUACAAGUACUUUGAAUGCUUUAAAAAAUAAAUGAACCCGUACACAAUCCGGUACAUGUGUAUCCGUUUGCGGUGGCGGUGACUUCCAAAAAAGAAAAAAACAGCAACAAAUGUACCAUAUCAAUUGCUGCCUGAGUUUUUGUGACAGUGUGCGAGAGUGAUAUGUGUGUGCAUUGGCGUACGAAUAAUCUGAAACAAAUAGCGGCCUUCUGUCCCAGCGACAACAAGACAUUUACUGUAAAUAGGUGAAAUAACAAGACAACCAGCAGUUGCACAAAUAUUAAAAAGGCACACAGACUGACAGACCAACCAAAGGUAUUACCGUAAUCAAUGUCAAACGCUGCCGAUUUUGUGAGUAUUUAUGUGUGCGUCUCUGUGUUCACUCCAGCCGAAAACAACAACACCUUCGCUCCGGAAGAGCGACACACACGCUCCUAUCAAAUCGCUUGGAAAGAGAGAGAGGCACAUAGAGCGGACUCGAACGAUGCGCGUCAAAUGUCAAAAUCGAGAAGAACAACAAAAACCAUUAUCGAAGCGACCUAGUGUUGUUCUACUUGAGAGAGCGUUUUUCGAAUAAAAUGAACAUAUUUGAAAGCUAAAAUAAUAUUUACUUUUCCUAUUUAUGUUUCAUAGUUUUGUGGACUUAAAGCGCAAGUAAACUUUUUCGAAAUGCCAGCCCACACAUACCAUUUACCUAUUAUAC